rnacentral:lncRNA from 1 species
GGAAGUCUGCAGCCCAUUAUGCUUUGGUUGGGCCUGUACUCGAAGCAGUAACGCCUAUUAUGCCUCGGUUCUGAGUUGAACCGAGGUGAUAACGCUUUGUCAGAAAAAAAAAAAAAGGGAUUUUUAUGCUUCGGUUCUCUUUUCACUCGAGACAGUAACAAACAUAGGCACCGAUUUAAAAAUAACUGAGGCAUAUAACCACUCACUAUUUACAAAACUGCCACCGUGCUUUUAUACGCUUCGGUUUCAAUAAAAUCGAGGUAUAUAUAGCGCGUUAAAAAAGCUUUUUUUUACUAGUGAGUCACCGCCGCACCUUCCCAAGAUUAACUACGGUGUCACCUCCAUUGUCGCCAGGUCCUUUAUCAUCAUCGCACCUCUACCGGUUGGCCAAGGUCACUCUUGGCGACAUUGCUCACUGUUGUAGUGUCUAACCUGGGUUUUCACGUAUCUAACCCUUAUUUCUUGCUUUUACGCUCCCAUAAUCUAGGUUUCNUCUAUCUAAUCCCUCUUUAUUCCCAUUGUUCCCAACUUUCUUCCACUCUAGAGAAGCCUUCUGAGUUGUGAUCCACUCAUUCGAGCUAGCAUCCAUAUCACCGUUCCCUUGCAACACUACUUCCGCUGCCAACACCUCCAUAGUUCCACAGAAUUCCCAAAUCCUCUCACCGUCCAGAUCUGCAUCUGAAACCAACAUUUGGUACUGUUCCAUUGGUUUGCAACCACUUCUCUGCAUUUCAACAUCUCUAAUCUCACGGAACUUCAAGAGCACAUGAUCCAUGGUGUAUCAUAUGCUAAUAGUAAAAAUAAAAAAAAAAUAUCCUAAAAAAUGUAAAAGAUUUAUGAUAUGAUUACAAAAGUAUAAAAAAUAUAUACU